rnacentral:rRNA from 1 species
GACGAACGCUGGCGGCGUGCUUAACACAUGCAAGUCGAACGGAAAGGCCCCUUUGGGGGUACUCGAGUGGCGAACGGGUGAGUAACACGUGAGUAACCUGCCCUUGACUUCGGGAUAACUUCAGGAAACUGGGGCUAAUACCGGCUAGGAAUCCUUGCUGCAUGGGGGGGGUUGGAAAGCUUCGGCGGUUUUGGAUGGACUCGCGGCUUAUCAGCUUGUUGGUGGGGUAGUGGCUUACCAAGGCUUUGACGGGUAGCCGGCCUGAGAGGGCGACCGGCCACCUUGGGACUGAGAUACGGCCCAGACUCCUAAGGGAGGCAGCAGUGGGGAAUAUUGCACAAUGGGCGGAAGCCUGAUGCAGCAACGCCGCGUGCGGGAUGGCGGCCUUCGGGUUGUAAACCGCUUUCAGCAGGGGCGAAGCUUGUGGUGACGGUACCUGCAGAAGAAGCACCGGCUAACUACGUG